AGCGAACGCUGGCGGCGUGUUUAAGACAUGCAAGUCGCACGGGAUAAGACAUGUAGUAAUACUUGUUUUAUUUAGUGGCGCACGGGUGAGUAACACGUGAAUUACAUGCCCUAUAGUGGGGAAUAGCCCAGGGAAACUUGGAUUAAUACCCCAUGGUAUCGAAAGAUUAAAGGUGGCCGCAAGGCUGUCGCUAUAGGAUUGGUUCGCGCCCUAUCAGCUUGUUGGUGAGGUAACGGCUCACCAAGGCAAUGACGGGUACCUGGUCUGAGAGGACGAUCAGGCACACUGGAACUGAGACACGGUCCAGACACCUACGGGUGGCAGCAGUCGAGAAUAAUUCACAAUGGGGGCAACCCUGAUGGUGCAACGCCGCGUGGAGGAUGGCGGUCUUCGGAUUGUAAACUCCUGUCAUCUGGGAGAAAGACCUGACGGUAAAUAGCCGGCAGGGUUGAUAGUACCAGAAGAGGAAGGGACGGCUAACUUCGUGCCAGCAGCCGCCGUAA
rnacentral:rRNA from 1 species